CAUAGGGGAAGGCGGAGGACGCGUCGGACGGGGCGGAGGAGCUCCGGUGAGGUAGAUCAGAUGAGGCAACGGCGGCUGUAGGUGAGGAAGACGACGUCGAUCCCGGCGAUGUAGAGGCAUAGAGCUCGAGGUGGUGGUCGUAGACGACGUAGAGGAGGCUGACGGAGCUGCAGGACAUGGACUCCGGGCACGGGAUCGACGGAGGGCACGAGCUUCACGGCGAGAAGGCCAUGGGGUCGCGGACGACGACGGGUGUGAGCGGGGCAGAGGGAGGAGAGGCGGCUAGGGUUCGGGAGGAGGCUGCGG
rnacentral:lncRNA from 1 species